rnacentral:tRNA from 1 species
GAAGUAAUACAAAUUGAACUUCUAAUUCAAUAUUUAAUGAUCAUAAAUUUUUCAUUUUACUUCA